rnacentral:rRNA from 1 species
AGUAAAGUCGUACAAGGUUUCCGUAGGUGAACCUGCGGAAGGAUCAUUAAUGAAUUGUAAUCGGAGCUGAUGCUGGCGGCUUGGCUGCAUGUGCUCGCUCUUAACAAUCUUUAUCCAAACACCUGUGCACAUUUAGAGAGGGUCUCCGAGUUCUCCUUGGAGUCCCUUCCUCUCAUUAUACACUAGUUUUUAAUAUUGAACGUGAUUGUGCCGUGAGGCCUUAAUAUCAAUACAACUUUUAACAACGGAUCUCUUGGCUCUCGCAUCGAUGAAGAACGCAGCGAAAUGCGAUAAGUAAUGUGAAUUGCAGAAUUCAGUGAAUCAUCGAAUUUUUGAACGCACCUUGCGCUCCCUGGUAUUCCGGGGAGCACGCCUGUUCGAGUGUCGUGAAAUUCUCAAACUGGGAUGCUUUUUUGUUUCUCGGCUUGGUGUUGGGCUUUGCAGUUCCUUUGAUUGGGAUGGCUGGCCUCAAAAGCAUUAGCUGGCUUUUCAUGUGGCAUUGGUUCUACUCAGCGUGAUAAUAAUCUGACCGCCGAGGACAUCUUUCGAGAUGGCCAAUUCUCAUUUGGGCUGCUUCUAAUUUUGGUAGAGCGGAUUCUGAAUCUGUUCCACUUUUUCAACUUUUGACCUCGAAUCA